rnacentral:tRNA from 1 species
UCCUAGCUGGAUUAGCUGGAGGAGCGUGAGACUCUUGAUCUCAGGUUGUAGGUUCAAACCCCAUGUUGGGUU